CUGAGGAAACCAGCCAAGACCUUCAACUCCAUGUCUUGGAAAUGAAAACUGAGACAAAUAAAAAAGGCCCCUGGUGCCUGCAUGCCACUUCGCUAGAUCACAGGUCCAAGCCAAGAAGCUUGCAACAAUAAAACGCCAGCCUAGUCUUCUGUCAUGAUUGUCUACAAACCUCAUAAAAAUUUGCUGCCUUGGACCCAGGAAUGAGAUCUGUCAAAGACCGGAAUGUUCCCCACCCCAGCCUGGAGAAAAGGGGGACAAGAUGACUUCAGGACCCCUGAAGCCUGGUCUUUUCAAACGCCACACCUUGCCUUCCACCUUUACAGCUGCUAGAGCCCGAGGUCAUCACUGAGGCCAGCGAGGACACAGAUUCCCAAAGCCCAGAAAUUUCCAAAACCUUUAACUCUUUAGGCUUCCUUAGAGUUAAAGGCUAUAGUGGCCUUUCCUGGGAGGCCAUUAUAGCUCAUCCCCCUGGUGAGGACAGAGGGAGCUGAAGGCUUUGGAAAAGUUGGUAUAUACAGUUGC